CGCAAAUGAGAUCAGUUUGUAUAUGUGGAAUCAUUUUUCGUGGGCUGCUGAAAGUUUCAAGCAUGUAGCUCCUCGAUACCGUGAUGCUCUAGUUUCUCACAUCAGGGAUAAUAUUGACUUCGAGGAUUGCACCGACGAAGAAGUGACGGCAGGUAUUCUCAAAAUGGCUGUAAAUAGAUACAGAGAUCGGUGAUGUAGGCUUCAUAAAUACUACAAUGAGCUGCAGGCGAAGGAGAUUGAUCCUGUGACCCAGCCAUACAGAAAUUGGGCUGGGUCUAGUGACGAUUGGCGGUGGUUAUGUGAGCAUUUUGGAAGUAAGGCAUUUCAGCGACGAUCGGAGACGAAUAAGGUGAAUAGGAGUAAGAUUGAUUCUAUUCACACGUAAGGAUGUGCCUCUUUUGCACAGGGAAUGAAGAGGAUGG